rnacentral:misc_RNA from 1 species
CCUGUAUCUAUCAAAAGCAUUGAAUGUGCAAUCAUUGACAAGGCCUUUGCGGAAGGGUGGAUGGUGCCACGGCCACCCCUUAAGAGAACAGGGAAGAGAGUUGCUAUUGUUGGAAGUGGACCAGCUGGCUUAGCUGCUGCUGAUCAACUAAAUAGAAUGGGUCACUCGGUGACUGUGUAUGAGCGUGCUGAUCGAAUUGGAGGACUCAUGAUGUAUGGAGUUCCCAACAUGAAGGCUGACAAAGUCAAUCUAGUUCAACGUCGUGUUGAUCUCAUGGCUAGGGAAGGAAUCAGUUUUGUGGUCAAUGCUAAUGUUGGAAUUGAUCCUCGGUACUCCCUUGAUAGGCUUCAAGAGGAGAAUGAUGCCAUUGUUUUGGCAGUGGGAGCUACAAAGCCAAGAGACCUUCCUGUUCCAGGACGGGAGUUAUCAGGUGUCCAUUUUGCCAUGGAGUUUCUUCAUGCAAAUACAAAAAGUUUGCUCGACAGCAAUCUCGAGUAUGGUAACUACAUAUCUGCUAAGGGCAAGAAAGUAGUUGUCAUUGGUGGAGAUGACACUGGCACAGAUUGUAUAGGGACAUCUAUCCGGCAUGGUUGUAGUAGGAUUGUAAAUCUAGAGCUUCUACCGGAGCCACCACGUACUAGAGCGCCUGGGAACCCCUGGCCACAGUG